AACUUAUGGUAUAACUAAUAACGUUUUUAAAAAAUGAUGUCAGUGUGGUUAUAAGCCACUAUAGCUCUGAACUUCGGCGAUACAGAUUUAAUCGAGCCCAUAGUUUUCAUUCAAUGUGUUUUCUGUCUCAUGUUAUACAUUGAGAUGUAAUAUGCUUGGACAAGUGGUUUGAGGCAGUACUUGAAGGUCCACCCUUUCUUCACGGAUGUUUUUGAUUUGAAUACACAAGCAGGCUCUGAAUGUUCAAGGUCAAAUCAAUGCAAGAAAGCAUUGAUUGUCAGUUGAUUGUAAGACCUCCUUUUGGCUUGUGUGUUUUGUACUUUGUGUUUUUUUACCCAUACAGUAGACAAAUCUCUUGGUACUCUUGAUUUAUACAACCUAGAUUAAAACAAAGUUUUUCAAAACCCUUAGUAAAUGGACCAACCAGACCCUCAAGACUGCCAUGGGCAAGUCCCUUGAUUGGUAUCAGGAAGGGUGGGAGAACAACCUGAAGGUAAUUCUCUUUGCACACAACAGCAGCAUCCAGGCUGAGUAUGGACAGGAGCCGCAGCUGUUGACUGAGGUAAACAAUGCAAUUGUAUAUACAAUUAUUGCAUGUACUGUAGUCUUUCAAAAUUGUGAUUGACUUAGUGUUUGUCUAUUGCUAUUUUUGCAUAACGUACUUUCAGAUCACUGAAACACCACCUGAUGUGGUGGAAGUUGUCGAACCAGAUCAGAACGCCUUUGAGUACUACCUUCAGGCACAGACUGAGAAGGACGUGUGGAGGUUUUUGACCAGGUGAGACAGAACAUGGACAAGGCGCAGGAGAAACAGAAGGAGAGCUACCGGAGUGUUUACGUCUCUGUCUCCUACCCUGUUCCCUUUAACUCUGCUCCUGUUCUCCAGGAGCUAGGGGUCCUGCCCAACACCCAGACGUGGAUCCACCUGAUGUUCUCCAUUACCAACCACCCUCCAACUUUUCAUUACAUCAUCUACAGCUACUGUUGUCAUGUUAUCAUUAUCUGCUAAGAAAGUUCUUGCUCUCUCAUACUGGCCCUCUUCACUUCCCUUUGGCCAAAGAAGACCUAAGACCCCAAUGCCAGACACUGCCCUGCGGCCGGUGCUGUCCUUCGGAUGAGACUGUGCACACAGAGGUCCUAUCUCUCUGUGGUCACUAAACAUCUCAUGGCACUUAUGACAUGAGUAGGGGUGUUGACCCUGCAUCUCCUGGCUAUAUUUCCAAGCCUGAUAACUACACGCUAUGUAAAUCCAACCCAUUAUCAUACGCUACCCUAGUAGGCUGUAUGGGAACCAAUAUAAUUAUUGGGUCUUUUUUAUUUUUUUAAGAAUGGUGCAUGUCUCAAAAUAUAACAAUGAGACCAAUAUCAAUAGUAUGUGUGUGUGCUGUAGUAGUAGUUGGCCAUUAUUUCUUCGAACAUCUCAGUUUGGGCAGCAGCCACUGGAGAAACCUGUCAAUCAAACACAACAGGAGAAUAAUUAGCAGUUUGCCAUUAAACAUCAGAUAGCUGCUCUUUCUCUGCUACCUCAUUCAAUGUCUAUAUUUCUCUACCUCAUUCUAUUUCUAUAAAUCUCUAAAACGCCCUUGUUAUGUUCCCCUCUUCUAUUUCCUCACCUCUUCCUCAGACUCGUCUUUUCCUCUUUCUUGUCCUCCUUAC